rnacentral:pre_miRNA from 1 species
GAUGAACUUGGUGUUCAGCACCAAGGACAGGUAUGUUUGACUGUGUAUGGAUGGCGUUCAGCACCAAGGACAGGUAUGCUUGACU